rnacentral:rRNA from 1 species
AUGGACGACUCGGCCCUGUUCAUGGAAUGGGCAAUGGACACGUUGGAGCAGGAGCACCCGGACCCAGUGGUGGUCGUCAACGGCGAGGCAGCAUUCCCCUCGCUUCAGGCACUCCGUGAACAGCGUCUUGUCUUCGAAGAGCUGAUUACGGGAGCCAAUCCGGCAAGCAGCGGGAGCUCCGGCGAAACAACCGACGGCAGCGGGGGCAAUUUCUCGUCCCCAGCGGCCAUGGAGCACGGCAUCUGGCCCCCGUCCCCGAACUCGGCCAGGUGCGCUCCAAGACUUUCCAGGAACGGUGGAGGCACCAACCUUCCGGUCACAAGCUGGAAUUUCUGCGCCGCUUCCGCGCUGCCGGCCAGUGACGGCACACUGGACAGCGGCAGCGCCGGGUCUGUCGUCCCGGAAAUGGUGUACGGGUCCCAGCCGACGAGGAGGUCCGCCGCAAGGAGCCCCACCGGUACCGGACCCGUGUCGUCGGGGCCGCCGUACGCGCAGGACCAUAUCAUGGCGGAGCGCAAGCGCCGCGAGAAGAUUAACCAGCGCUUCAUCGAGCUCUCUACCAUCAUCCCCGGCCUCAAGAAGAUGGACAAGGCGACGAUCCUUUCCGACACGACGAGGCACGUCAAGGAGCUGCAGGAGAAGAUCAAGGCCCUCGAGGCAGCCACCGGGUGCCGCAACGCCGUGGUGCUCGUCAAGAAGCCGCGCCACGCCGACGCCGCCGUUUCAGACCAGAGCCAGAACGGUUCGUCCUCGUCGGCGUCGUCGGGGGCGCCUUCUGCGGGGAAUAACCCGCUGCCGGAGAUCGAGGUGCGGUUCUUGGAGACCGGCGUGAUGGUGAGGGUCCUCUGCCACGACGUCAAGGGGGUGGUGGUGAGGGUGCUGUCGGAGGUGGAAGAGGGGCUCCACCUCACCGUCACCCACGCCAAUGUCAUGCCGUUCACGGCCUGCACUGUCAUCAUAACCAUCACGGCCAAGGGAAUUUCUUAUGGACUUUACGGACGAGCGGAUAUGGUGGAUGAGGGCUUCACCGUCACAGCAGAGGAGAUCGUAGGAAGACUCAACUAUGUGUUGGAAUUGUAUAGCAGCUGCACUUCUACCGAAGAAAACUGA